GAUGAACGCUGGCGGCGUGCCUAAUACAUGCAAGUCGAGCGAACGGACGAGAAGCUUGCUUCUCUGAUGUUAUCGGCGGACGGGUGAGUAACACGUGGAUAACCUACCUAUAAGACUGGGAUAACUUCGGGAAACCGUAGCUAAUACCGGAUAAUAUUUUGAACCGCAUGGUUCAAAAGUGAAAGACGGUCUUGCUGUCACUUAUAGAUGGAUCCGCGCUGCAUUAGCUAGUUGGUAAGGUAACGGCUUACCAAGGCAACGAUGCAUAGCCGACCUGAGAGGGUGAUCGGCCACACUGGAACUGAGAAACGGUCCAGACUCCUACGGGGGGCAGCAGUAGGGAAUCUUCCGCAAUGGGCGAAAGCCUGACGGAGCACCGCCGCGUGAGUGAUGAAGGUCUUCGGAUCGUAAAACUAUGUUAUUAGGGAAGAACAUAUGUGUAAGUAACUGUGCACAUAUUGACGGUACCUAAUCAGAAAGCCACGGCUAACUCCGUG
rnacentral:rRNA from 1 species